AUUGAACGCUGGCGGCAGGCCUAACACAUGCAAGUCGAGCGAGCGGCGGACGGGUGAGUAAUGCAUGGGGACUGCCCGAUAGAGGGGGAUAACUACUGGAAACGGUGGCUAAUACCGCAUACUUUCCGAUAACCCAUAUGGGAUUAGCUAGUAGGUGGGGUAAAGGCUCACCUAGGCGACGAUCUCUAGCUGGUCUGAGAGGAUGAUCAGCAACACUGGGACGGAGACACGGCCCAGCCUCCUACAGAGGCAGCAGUGAGGAAUAUUGCACAAUGGGCGCAAGCCUGAUGCAGCCAGGCCACUUAUAUGAAGAAGGCCUUAGGGUUGUAGAGGACUUUCGGCGGGGAGAGGUUACCCGCAGAAGAAGCACCGGCUAACACCGUGCCAGCAGCCGCGGUAAUUC
rnacentral:rRNA from 1 species